UACGUCCAUAGCACGUUUAAACGCCGGUUCUUGUACGACCACCGAAGUUAAGCAACGUCCAGCCUGGUCAGUACCUAGAUGGUUGACCGGUUGAGAAUACCAGGUGCUGUAA